CAGUAGCCACGGUAAUACGUAGGGCGCAAGCGUUGUCCGGAAUUAUUGGGCGUAAAGAGCUCGUAGGCGGUCUGUCGCGUCUGGUGUGAAAUCCCGAGGCUCAACCUCGGGCUUGCAUCGGGUACGGGCAGACUAGAGUGCGGUAGGGGAGACUGGAAUUCCUGGUGUAGCGGUGGAAUGCGCAGAUAUCAGGAGGAACACCGAUGGCGAAGGCAGGUCUCUGGGCCGCAACUGACGCUGAGGAGCGAAAGCAUGGGGAGCGAACAGGAUUAGAUACCCCGGUAGUCCCUGUCUCUUAUAC
rnacentral:rRNA from 1 species